rnacentral:rRNA from 1 species
AACGAACGCUGGCGGCAGGCCUAACACAUGCAAGUCGAACGAAGUCUUCGGACUUAGUGGCGGACGGGUGAGUAACACGUGGGAACGUGCCUUUAGGUUCGGAAUAACUCAGGGAAACUUGUGCUAAUACCGAAUGUGCCCUUCGUGGGAAAGAUUUAUCGCCUUUAGAGCGGCCCGCGUCUGAUUAGCUAGUUGGUGAGGUAAAGGCUCACCAAGGCGACGAUCAGUAGCUGGUCUGAGAGGAUGAUCAGCCACAUUGGGACUGAGACACGGCCCAAACUGCUACGGGAGGCAGCAGUGGGGAAUCUUGCGCAAUGGGCGAAAGCCUGACGCAGCCAUGCCGCGUGAAUGAUGAAGGUCUUAGGAUUGUAAAAUUCUUUCACCGGGGACGAUAAUGACGGUACCCGGAGAAGAAGCCCCGGCUAACUUCGUGCCAGCCGCCGCGGUAAAAC